rnacentral:lncRNA from 1 species
UUUGUUCUUAAAUUCUAAGUUUGACUUUACCUUUAAAAAAGUAUUUCUUUGGUAUGAUUUAGUAUGUAUUAACCCUUCCACUCCCUCAAGUCUAAAACUUUUCAAAAGAAUUUUUGGCCGGGCACGGUGGUUCAAGCCUGUAAUCCCAGCACUUUGGGAGGCCGAGACGGGCGGAUCACAAGGUCAGGAGAUCGAGACCAUCCUGGCUAACACGGUGAAACCCCGUCUCUACUAAAAAAAAUAAAAAAACUAGCCGGGCGAGGUGGUGGGCGCCUGUAGUCCCAGCUACUCGGGAGGCUGAGGCAGGAGAAUGGCGUGAACCCGGGAGGUGGAGCUUGCAGUGAGCUGAGAUCUGGCCACUGCACUCCAGCCUGGGCGACAGAGCGAGACUCUGUCUUAAAAAAGAAAAGAAAAAAAAAAAAGAAUUUUUAAUAAUACCUGAGUAAAUUGGUGUUAUUAGAAAUACCAUAGUCGGUAUUUCUUGGGCUGAAUGUUAUGAAUGAUUGUGUUCUACCCAGACAUCAAGAAUUAGAUGUGAAUUCUCUCAUAUGGUAGCAGUUUAUCAUGUUUAUUGUUCCCUCUUACUGUUGUAUAUUUUCUCUCUGGACAAAUUGUGCAGUUUGUCAUAUGAAUGCUAAGUAUUAGGUUUACAUAAAAGAAUAUUUUGAUGAGAAGGAUGCAGUUAUUAUAUUAGAUUGCUCAGAUUGGACAUUGCUCCAUUAACUGUAUUUUUCAGGUAAUUCUGUAGUUACUGGAGGUAGUAGAAGGCACACACAUCAUGCCAUUUCCCUCAAGUACUUGGAUAACUGAGAAAGAAAUGGCAGAAAAUUGUGAGUGGUAUUUCCAGCUCCUAACAGAAUCAUUCAUGUGGAAAGUUCCUUGGCUCAACAUCAAGUCAUUAAAUAAAAAGCAAACACACCUUUUACCUAGCUCAAGUAUAUUUGUUUUUCAUUGUUUCUAUUUUUUUCUCUUGGUUAAUAGCACCCCAUUUUUUCUGUGCUUGAAACUUGGUCGUCAUUUCUGACCCUUACCUAUUCAUUAUGCCCUUUGUUAGUAACGUACGACUCACGACUGUAGAAUGGGGUUUACUAUUUGGAGGGAGUGUGUGUGCUAUGGAGACAGUCGUUCCAUCCUCACAGAAUUCUAUGAGUGGACUCAAGCAGCGAGAGACGGGAUUGUCACCUUAAGGGAGAUGAGGUUCAGAAGGCCUAAAUCCUGUCAGUACAGCCUCAAGCCUGUGCCUUAAAGAUUUGUUCUUUCUCGUUUAUUUCAUUUACACCAAUUCAAGUUCAAGGUACUAAUUACCACAUCUAAUUCAUUGCCCCAUCGACAGUGUCUCGCUACUCUGUCAUGUUUGAAACCAGCAGAUUAAUCUUGUUACAGUGACUUUUUUGUGUAUAAUAUUCUCUGUUUCCCUAUGUUUCAAAUUAAUAGUUCUUAAGGUACUGUGUCAUCUGGUCCCACGUUAUCUGUCUCUUUUACUUUCCACAUUUUUCUCCCUUCUGUCCCUAAUCCGAAUUAGAACCAUCUUGCCAGUCUUAGGCCAUGUCUUGGGUUAGUUUUUAAUCAUUCUAGACCACAUUAACUGAUCUGAACUCCUAUUAUAGUAAUUGUAUUCCACAGUGUAGUACUUUAUUAUGGACAGAAAUGCACACUUAUCUAGAAGUUGCCUAUUCAGCAGUUUCAAGAACUUGUAAUUAACCAGAGGAGGCAGUUACGUAGACAUAAAAUACAAAGCCAUGUUCUCAGGCAGCCGGGAUGAGUGUUCCAGAGUCCACGGGUUUUCCUCCCAGUGCUGGGCUGUAGACACUUGGACAUGUGCGUAAUCAUUGAUGUGGAUGUGUGGGCGACAGUGCAGCGUUUUGCUAUUUUAAUGUAUUUAGUUAAUGGAUUUCCAGCCCUCAGCCAGUUGGAGGUAGCAAAUUAGGAAUAAGAAAGAGAUAACAGGCCAGGCAUGGUGGCUCAUACCUGUAAUUCUAACAGUUUGGUAGGAUAAGGUAGGGGGAUUGCUUGAGCCCAGGAGUUCAAGACAGCCAGGGAGACCCUGUCUCUACACACACACACACACACACACACACACACACACACACACACAGCAUGGCUAUAGUCCCAGCUACUUGGGAGGCUUAGGCAGGAGGAUCACUUGGGCCUAGGAGGUGGAGGCUACAGUGACAGAGUGAGAACCUAUCUCACAAAAGGAAAAACAGAAGAGAGAUAGCAUCUAUUAGUUUUGAUUUUUGUCAAACUGUGAUUGUUGAUAAGCUUUAUAAAUAGGUCAAUCUGUGGUGACUUAAUUUUGGGCUAAGAUCUUGUUCUGCUACAGUACAGCAACUAUGUGAUAAAUUAAAUGACUAUUGAAAACGAUGUAUUUAGUUUGAAUAUGGUUGAGUCUCACAAAUUGUUGGGGAAUCUUGGUCAGGUCGUUUCACAUGAGAGAAUGGUCAGGAGCCUUCUCAGUGGUAGGUGUGCUGCUUGGUGGUGUAGGCCAUAUGUGGAUAAUCUCCCUGCUUAAAACUUAGUAGAAAAACAAAAGAAAUACUUGGAUAACUGUAAAAUAACUUGAUUGAAGCAGAAUCCUAGUCAUUGAAUCAUGUAGCACCUGCUGAAAGAAGUUCUCAAGUUCUGAUUGAGUUCUAAACAUUUUUGACUAUUGGAAUUCAUCAUGUGUGAGUAAAAACAUAAUUUCUGAUGAUCUAUUUCUAGUCCAUCGCAUAAGAAAGUAUUUAACCUGGACCAGGCAUGAUGGCUCACUCCUGUAAUUGCAGCACCUUGGGAGGCGGAGGCAUGAGGGUUGAUUGAUGCCAGGAGUUUGAGAGCAGCCU